rnacentral:rRNA from 1 species
AUUCCAGCUCCAAUAGCGUAUAUUAAAGUUGUUGCAGUUAGAACGCUCGUAGUCGGAUUUCGGGGCGGUCCGACCGGUCUGCCGAUGGGUACGCACUGGUCGGAGCGUCCUUCCUGCCGGAGACCGUGCCUACUCUUAACUGAGCGGGGGCGGGAGACGGCACUUUUACUUUGAAAAAAUCAGAGUGUUUCAAGCAGGCAGCUCGCUCUUGCAUGGAUUAGCAUGGGAUAAUGAAAUAGGACUUUGGUGCUAUUUUGUUGGUUUCGAACACCGAAGUAAUGAUGAGAAGGGACAGUCAGGGGCACUCGUAUUCCGCAGAGAGAGGUGAAAUUCUCAGACCCGCGGAAGACGAACCACUGCGAAAGCAUUUGCCAGGGAUGUUUUCAUUA